rnacentral:rRNA from 1 species
AGCGAACGCUGGCGGCAGGCUUAACACAUGCAAGUCGAGCGGGCCCUUCGGGGUCAGCGGCGGACGGGUGAGUAACGCGUGGGAACGUGCCCUCUGGUCUGGAAUAACCCUGGGAAACUAGGGCUAAUACCGGAUACGCCCUUUUGGGGAAAGGCUUGCUGCCGGAGGAUCGGCCCGCGUCUGAUUAGCUAGUUGGUGGGGUAACGGCCUACCAAGGCGACGAUCAGUAGCUGGUCUGAGAGGAUGAUCAGCCACUCUGGGACUGAGACACGGCCCAGACUCCUACGGGAGGCAGCAGUGGGGAAUAUUGGACAAUGGGCGCAAGCCUGAUCCAGCCAUGCCGCGUGAGUGAUGAAGGCCUUAGGGUUGUAAAGCUCUUUUAUCCGGGACGAUAAUGACGGUACCGGAGGAAUAAGCCCCGGCUAACUUCGUGCCAGCAGCCGCCGUAC